GGCAAGAAAAUGGGAGCUGCAGGA
rnacentral:piRNA from 1 species